CCUACGGGACGCAGCAGUGGGGAAUAUUGCACAAUGGGGGAAACCCUGAUGCAGCAACGCCGCGUGAGUGAAGAAGUAUUUCGGUAUGUAAAGCUCUAUCAGCAGGGAAGAAGAAAGACGGUACCUGACUAAGAAGCCCCGGCUAACUACGUGCCAGCAGCCGCGGCAAUACGUAGGGGGCAAGCGUUAUCCGGAUUUACUGGGUGUAAAGGGAGCGUAGACGGUUACGCAAGUCUGGAGUGAAAGGCGGGGGCCCAACCCCCGGACUGCUUUGGAAACUGUAUAACUGGAGUGCAGGAGCGGUA
rnacentral:rRNA from 1 species